rnacentral:rRNA from 1 species
GACGAACGUUGGCGGCGUGCUUAAUACAUGCAAGUCAACUGAAGCAGAGGUAGUAAUAUCUCUGUGGAGGUGGCGCACGGGUGAGUAACACGUAGGUAAUCUGCCUUCAGGUCUGACAUAACCCCGAGAAAUCGGGGCUAAUAGCAGAUGAUGCAGCGGCUUGACAUCAAGACAGUUGUUAAAGCUUCGGCGCCUGAAGAUGAGCCUGCGUCUGAUUAGCUAGUUGGCGGAGUAACAGCCCACCAAGGCUACGAUCAGUAGCUGGUCUGAGAGGAUGAUCAGCCACACUGGAACUGAGACACGGUCCAGACUCCUACGGGAGCAGCAGUAAGGAAUAUUGCUCAAUGGAAGAAAUCCUGAAGACAGCAACGCCGCGUGAGGGAUGAA